rnacentral:rRNA from 1 species
GAUGAACGCUGGCGGCGUGCCUAAUACAUGCAAGUCGAGCGAACAGACGAGGAGCUUGCUCCUCUGACUUUAUCGGCGGACGGGUGCGUAACAUGUGGAUAACCUACCUAUAAGACUGGGAUAACUUCGGGAAACCGGAUCUAAUACCGGAUAAUAUAUUGAACCUCAUUGUUCAAUAGUUAAAGACGGUUUUUCUUUCACUUAUAGAUUGAUCCGCGCCGCAUUAGCCAGUUGGUAAGGUAACUGCUUACCAAGGCAACGAUGCGUAGCCGACCUGAGAGGGAGAUCGGCCACACUGGAAGUGAGAAACGGCAGAGACACCGACGGGGAGAAGCAGUAGGGAAUCUUACGGGAUGGGCGAAAGCGGGACGGUGAAAAGCGGGGGGAGGGAUGAAGGACUUAGGAUGGGAAAACGAUGAUAGUAGGAAAGAAGAAAAGUGUAAGUAACUAUGAACGUAGUGACGGUACCGAAUCAGAAAGCCACGGCUAACUACGUG